CUCAUCCCAAUGAGGAGGUGAAUUCAUGAGAUUCAAUACUUUUGGGUUAAGCCUCAUCUGCAUUUUAGUGUGGGCAGUGCUUGAUUAGUUAUUCAACAAAGCAGAACUCUAAAGCUGAUCAUUCUGGAAAGAGGCAAGAGUCCCAUUUUUCAAACUCAAAUUGUACUUAGCUUCAAGGUAUGGUAAUAUUCAAUUAAUAUACUUGGCUUUCACUUUCAAGAAUAGAACAAAUCCCAGAACUAUUCUUGAAAGAUAUGUGACUCAAAUUUAAAUUAUCUCUCUUUUUUAUCCUUUAGGAUUAAAGGCAAAUUAAAUAUUAUCUGAAGAAAACAAAACCACUUCAACUUUUAUUUUCUACAUCAUCUGCAGAAGGUUACGAAUGCAGCAUUUUGAAAUGAAGACGUUAAUAGCAACAGUUUUUAACAUGUUGAAAGAUGUCUUCUGCCCUCGGCUUAUACCAAUGAGCGAUGUAGUGAGGAAUUUGUUUUUGUUUUGUGUUAUUUUUGUUUUAAUAAGAAAUUUAAAAAAAUGUUCUUAUUUGAGGCAUUGAUGCAAAAAAUUUUUUUUUAGGAUAUUGAAGUAUCAUUACAUUUAUCCACAUUGCUGAGUCUAUGGAAAUUAAGGAUUUUUGCCCUUCAAAAUUACAGAGGCAUAAAACCAAAAUAAUUCGUUUUUAAAGUAAAGUGAAAAUGAAUGGGAUAGGAAAUCAAAGACUCUUGAAAUGAUAUUCCGUGAGAAAGGCAUGCACCAUGUAGAGUAAAGAGGAUCCUGCUAGAUAUCAUCAGCAAAGUCAACCAUGUUUUGGAGACAAAUGCUGGACCCUCUUCCCCAGUUGCUCAUGGAAGACAGACUGAUUCACACACAAACUAUUUGGUGAGACCUGGUACCAUGCCUCAUCUUGAUGCAAGAAAAGCUUCCAAGGAGAUCAAACCAGUCAGUCCUAAAGGAGAUCGGUCCUGAAUAUUCACUGGAAGGACUGAUGCUGAAGUUCCAAUGUUUGCCCACCUGAUUCGAAGAACCGACUCAUUGGAAAAGACCCUAAUGCUGGGAAAUAUUGAAGGCAGGAGAAAGGGACAACAGAGGAUCACACGGUUGGAUGGCAUCACUGACUCGAUGGGCAUGAGUUUGAGAGAGCCCCAGGAACUGGUGAUGGACAAGAAAGCCUGGCGUGCUGCAGCCCGUUGGGUUGCAGAGUCAGACACGACUGAGGGACUAAACUGAACUGAACUAGCUUCCAAGUAUAGAUAGCAGCCAUAUGAUAUGAAUGACUGAAUGUCUAAUAACUGAUAGUAUCUUGCCAAAUAAUCA
ensembl:lncRNA